ensembl:snRNA U6 U6 spliceosomal RNA
GUGCUCACUUCAGAUACACAAAUGCUAAAAUUAAAAUGAUACAGAGAAGACUAGCAUGGCCCCUGCACAAGGAUGACACAAAGUCAGAAAGCAUUUCAUAUGGAA